rnacentral:lncRNA from 1 species
AUAAAAACUCCAUGUUUAUCUUCUUUAGGGCAUUAGAGUACUUCUCCCAUCUCUCUAGACUACGUAUAUUAACUCUGAGCUCACUCAGAAGACAAGAAGGAUUUUAAAAGCAUUGGCAUCUCUGCAAAUAAGAAAAAAGUACAAGGGAAAGACAAGAACAGACCAGGAAAUGGACACAUGCAACAAGUCUCAGGAGGAAGAUACCUGAAGUAUCUGAACUUAAUGAUAAAGGAUCACAUCUGGGAGGCCAUCAUAGUGAAUAAGCAAAUGGAAAUACUACUAUGGGAACUAAGUGAGUACAUUCAGAGAAGUCUCAGACCAGAGGAAAGCAAGAGUUCCAUCCUGUUUGUCUUCAAGAAUGUUGCUUAAUGUCUUUUAAAUUAGACUGUCUUCUCCUAACCCUGCUUCCUGAAAUAUUCAGUCUUUGCUUACGCUUUAUUUUUGCACAAGAG